GACGAACGCUGGCGGCGUGCCUAAUACAUGCAAGUAGGACGCAGUUGCGAACGGGUGAGUAACGCGUAGGUAACUACCUAUUAGAGGGGGAUAACUAUUGGAAACGAUAGCUAAUACCGCAUACUAGUAGAUGGAUCUGCGUUGUAUUAGUUAGUAGGUAGGGUAAUGGCCUACCUAGGCAACGAUACAUAGCCGACCUGGGGGGGUGAUCGGCCACACUGGGAAUGGGACACGGCCCAGACUCCUACGGGAGGCAGCAAUAGGGGAACUUCGGCAAAGGGGGGAACCCUGGCCGGGCAACGCCGCGUGGGUGGAGAAGGUUUUCGGAUCGUAAAGCUCUGUUGUUAAGGGAGCGGUACUUAACCAGAAAGGGACGGCUAACUACGUGCCAGCAGCCGCGGUAAUUC
rnacentral:rRNA from 1 species